rnacentral:rRNA from 1 species
AACGAACGCUGGCGGCGUGCCUAACACAUGCAAGUCGAACGAGAAAGGGGCUUCGGCUCCGAGUAAAGUGGCGCACGGGUGAGUAACACGUGGGUAACCUGCCUCUAAGAUUGGGAUAACUCGUCGAAAGAUGAGCUAAUACCGAAUAAGACCACAGUUCCUGCGGGGACAGGGGUCAAAGGUAGCCUCUGCUUGCAAGCUAUCACUUAGAGAUGGGCCUGCGCACCAUUAGCUAGUUGGUAGGGUAACGGCCUACCAAGGCAAAGAUGGUUAGCUGGUCUGAGAGGAUGAUCAGCCACACUGGAACUGAGACACGGUCCAGACUCCUACGGGAGGCAGCAGUGGGGAAUAUUGCGCAAUGGGCGAAAGCCUGACGCAGCAACGCCGCGUGAGUGAUGAAGGCCUUCGGGUCGUAAAGCUCUGUCGGGAGGAACGAAUGCUCCUGAGGUUAACAGCCUCGGGAGGUGACGGUACCUUCAAAGGAAGCACCGGCUAACUCUGUGCCAGCAGCCGCCGUAAAAC